rnacentral:rRNA from 1 species
CAUAUCAAUAAGCGGAGGAAAAGAAACCAACAGGGAUUGCCCCAGUAACGGCGAGUGAAGCGGCAACAGCUCAAAUUUGAAAUCUGGCCCCCCGGCCCGAGUUGUAAUUUGGAGAGGAUGCUUCUGGCGCGGCGCCGUCCGAGUUCCUUGGAACAGGACGCCACAGAGGGUGAGAGCCCCGUACGGACGGACGCCUAGCCUCUACGAAGCUCCUUCGACGAGUCGAGUAGUUUGGGAAUGCUGCUCAAAAUGGGAGGUAAAUUUCUUCUAAAGCUAAAUACCGGCCAGAGACCGAUAGCGCACAAGUAGAGUGAUCGAAAGAUGAAAAGCACUUUGAAAAGAGGGUUAAAAAGUACGUGAAAUUGUUGAAAGGGAAGCGCCUGUGACCAGACUUGCGCCUCGCGGACCACCCGGCGUUCUCGCCGGUGCACUCUGCGUGGCGCAGGCCAGCAUCGGUUCUCCCAGGGGGACAAAGGCCGCGGGAACGUAGCUCCUUUGGGAGUGUUAUAGCCCGCGGCGGCAUGCCCCUGGGGGGACCGAGGACCGCGCUUCGG